UACAGAGGGGGCAAGCGUUGUUCGGAAUUACUGGGCGUAAAGGGCGCGUAGGCGGCCUGUUAAGUCGAACGUGAAAUCCCCGGGCUCAACCCGGGAACUGCGUCCGAUACUGGCAGGCUUGAAUCCGGGAGAGGGAUGCGGAAUUCCAGGUGUAGCGGUGAAAUGCGUAGAUAUCGCUUGGAACGCCAACGGUGAAAACAGACUGCUGGGGGUGUGCUGACGCUGAGACACGAAAGCCAGGGGAGCGAACGGG
rnacentral:rRNA from 1 species